AUUAGUGGGUAAAAAUGAACUCUAGCACAAUCACCUUCUCCCUCUCCCCCUUGCAGUCGUCAUCCUCUCUCUCUUUUCUUCUUUAUCCCUCUUUCACACAACAAAUCCCACAUCGAUCUCCCUGCCGUGCACACUUCGUCGCGAUGUCCGCCAGUGUCUGUUCGUCGCUGUCAAUAUGGACGUUGCUAACCAGUACAGUUCGAGAAUCUACACAAUAAGAAUUCCAGGAAAAUUACUCCUCGAUCUCCAAUUUCAUUCAUCGAAACGGAUCUUUGAGGUUUUGGAUUUUCUGUUUUUUUAGUUCUUGCUGGGUCUUUUUUGUUUUCUCCAUUUCUGUAUUGGGUGAUUUUGUAACUCAAAAUUUUCAAUUAUGUGGGCUGGGCAAGGGUUGGUCUUGUUGUUGAUCGAAGACGGUGGAAUUUCUCAGUUUAGAUAUGCUAGAUAAUUGUUAAAAGUUUGCUGUUUAUAACUUAUGACAUGUUUUGCAUAUUCUGUUUUUUCAGUUUUAGUAGGUAAACAUGUGGGUUUAAAGCAUACGAUAAAGAGUCCGGAUGUAAUGGAAUCUCGAUUCAGUCAUCUUCCCUUAUCUUGAAUACUUUUUUUAGUAGGGAAAGUUGUCCCACAAAUUAACAUGAGUCAUUUCAACAUGUUUUGUCCUCAUUUACGUGGCUAAGCACGCUUAACUUUGGUUCAUUUAUGUAUCCCUCCUGGACUCAGGUUGUUCGUUUCCUCGAGUGGAAGAGCAUUUGUUGUAGAAAACACAAAUUGGGACGUUAGAUAAUAUGAGAUGGCAUGCUUCCCUCUUUGUAUUUUUACUUUUACGAUGUAUUAUUGAACAAAUUAGUAGCAAUGGGUGAACAUGCAGGAAAGCAGGUUUUCGUAACAUGAAUUCCAUUAAGUCCAAGUAAUGAUGAACGAUAUCCAUUCAAGUUUAAAAGGAAACAAUUUUCUAUUC